UGUGGCCAGCAGGACUAAACUGCUUCUGGCGCAAUGGGACACCGUGAUGGAAACCAGAGCUCACGGAAACACCAUUUACCUUUCUGCCGCAGCGAUUUAGGCUGAAAAGGAGCAUGUGCACUGAAAGUUAACAGCUGAGCAAACUUUUUUAAAAAUGAUGAAUUACUCCACAUUUACCGAUAUCGAGGUCAUCGGAAGGCACUUCCUCUUUAACUGCCAAAUGACACAUUGCCGUUCUGAAUGCUCGUGUAUCCCAUGUGACCCACUUGGCAUAACCAAAAUGAAGGAGAGCAGCUGGAGAGAGCCGAAGGAAGGGAGGAUGUGGUUACUACUCGGAGGAAGAGAAAGCAAACAUU